AACACGUGAGCAACCUACCUCUUGGCGGGGGAUAGCCGGCCUAACGGCCGGGUAAUACCGCGUAUUUCGCUAGAGCCGCAUGACUUUAGCGUGAAAGUGGCCGCAAGGUCACACCAGGAGGGGCUCGCGGCCUAUCAGCUUGUUGGUGAGGUAACGGCUCACCAAGGCUACGACGGGUAGCUGGUCUGAGAGGAUGAUCAGCCACAUUGGGACUGAGAUACGGCCCAG
rnacentral:rRNA from 1 species